rnacentral:rRNA from 1 species
GAUGAACGCUAGCGGCAGGCUUAACACAUGCAAGUCGAGGGGUAGAACACUUCGGUGUUUGAGACCGGCGCACGGGUGCGUAACGCGUAUGCAAUCUGCCUUUCACAGAGGGAUAGCCCAGAGAAAUUUGGAUUAAUACCUCAUAGUAUUGAGAACCGGCAUCGGUUUUUAAUUAAAGUCACAACGGUGAAAGAUGAGCAUGCGUCCCAUUAGCUAGUUGGUAAGGUAACGGCUUACCAAGGCUACGAUGGGUAGGGGUCCUGAGAGGGAGAUCCCCCACACUGGUACUGAGACACGGACCAGACUCCUACGGGAGGCAGCAGUGAGGAAUAUUGGUCAAUGGACGCAAGUCUGAACCAGCCAUGCCGCGUGCAGGAUGACGGUCCUAUGGAUUGUAAACUGCUUUUGUACGAGAAGAAACACUCCUUCGUGAAGGAGCUUGACGGUAUCGUAAGAAUAAGGAUCGGCUAACUCCGUGCCAGCAGCCGCG